CCAGCCGCUGAUGAAAGGGCUGGCCUUGUUGGAAGGGCCGCUUUCGGCGCUUCCGUAUCCCAUGUUGCUUCAAGGAGGAUAUGGCUAUGGCAA
rnacentral:sRNA from 1 species